UAGGGAAUCUUCCACAAUGGGCGCAAGCCUGAUGGAGCAACGCCGCGUGAGUGAAGAAGGUUCUUCGGAUACGUAAACUCUGUUGUUAGAGAAGAACACGAGUGAGAGUAACUGUUCAUUCGAUGACGGUAUCUAACCAGCAAGUCACGGCUAACUACGUGCCAG
rnacentral:rRNA from 1 species